GCCCCAGUCCUUGAAUUACUUCUGAUGAGAAUAGAUUGCUGUGAGGAUUGUUGGGAAAACAUAUAACGGCAGCAACACCCCAGAGAAAAACCCCAACAUGGCGCCUAACGACCCUCUUUCUCUUCUUUUUUUUCUUUCACUGGCACGAAACGUUCCCGCCGGCGCCAAUGUUCAAAUCCUGCGGGUGGGAAGCCUUAGCCCCAAUAAGAAUUAACUUCUUGAGCUCUGGAACUGACAUAUGGAAGAGCUUGCCAAUAAACGGGCGACCUGUUAUCUACCUCAGCCCUGCUACCUCUCCUUAGAUUUAUAUAAACACACAGCCUUUUGUAAUAAAUUGGAACCUCUCCGGUGAUCUGUGUCAUGUGGUGUCUCCCAUUCGUAGUGCGGUGCGGUGUCUUACAGUGGUGCCGAAAACCCGGGAGACGGUGGCUCGACAAACCGAGCCCCCGUCUCUGUCACUGCCAUCACCAACGACACAUUUCACCCUUGUCUGUCUUUUUGGGCGCUGGCUCCCUGCACUCACCACUGAUCGGGUUUAGGUAAGUUCCCCCUCCCCGGCUCACCAACUCCCUUCGGGCUGCCAGCAGGGGAUGCGACCGUGAUUGUCCAGCACGCUCCUGAUGCCCAGUAGGGAGGAGGGAAUGCACCCCACUAAGACCUUCACUGGUCGCAGUGGACCCUCUGGUGACCCGCUUCCCUUUGGGGCGUGAGGCUUCUGGGUUUACACGAGAGAGGCUCCCUAUUUUCUUCCUCCUCCGCAGGAGCUGCGUCCUGCUGGAGCUGCAUCCUGCGGGAGCUGCGUCCUGCGGGAGCUGCGUCCUGCUGGAGCUGCGCCCGCUGAAGCCGCGCCCCGCCGGAGCUGUCUUCAGCCCGGAGUUGAACUUACGGCCCGAAGCUGUGCUCUGCUGGGGUUCUGUCCUUUCCUUCCUUGACUCUCUCUCGUUCUGGUGGAAAAAUUUUCCUGACAUCAGGUUGCCCACGGCCUCGACCUUACAGGGUCACACAGACUGCACUUCGUUGGUGACAACCGAGCUGUGCCCUCUGUGCCUACUCGCAGUGGACUGGUCACUUUGGGGACACCCACGUAAUCCUCCAUCUGCUCUACACUUCCAGGAAGCCCCUAGAGCCCGGUUUAAUUCUUUUUCUCCCUUUGCUGUCCCUUCCUCCACUCUCUAACUAUGGGUGCCUCCUCAUCUAUACCGGAAACCUCACCACUCAAGUGUCUCCUUAAGAAUUUGGCUACUCUCUCUCUCUCCCCGGACCUCAAGCCCAAAAUUCUUAUCAGAUUCUGUACCCAAGAUUGGCCCGCAUAUCCAUUAGAUAAUGACAGUCAUUGGCCUCCAGAAGGCUCGUUAGAUCCAAAUUUCCUCCGGGACCUUUUAACUAUUGCCAGCGCCUGAAAGGGUAGAAAGAGGUUCCCAGGUCUUCCCGUCCUGCCUUCUGCUCUCUGCUCCUGAUCUUCCUUCUAGGCCCUUCCCUUCCCUCUUUAUGUCUGCUCUCCCUCCCAGCGGUACCACGUCCACGUCCCCUCCCUCUCCCUGCUGCAGCCACUGCCCACGGCCCUGCCUGCGCACUUCCCCUCCUCUUCCUCCGCGGAGACAUCCCCUCCCCUCCUCUACCUCAGCCCUGCUACCUCUCCUUAGAUCUAUAUAAACACACAGCCUUUUGUAAUAAAGUGGAAACUUUCCGGUGAUUUGUGUUGUGUGGCGUCUCCCAUUCGUAGUGUGGUGCGGCGUCUUACAAGGAUGGCCUUAGGCCUGAGCCUAAGCAACUCCAUUUUGAAAACUCCAGUCUCAUUAAGCACACCAACAGAGCCCUCCAGAAUGGCCUCAGACAAGUUACUUCCCCCAACCCUGAUAAACAGAAUGAAGCCUCUGGCAGGCUGUCCUCACCUGCUAAGAGGGAAAAGCAAGAAGAUCAGGGUGGAGACCACUAGACCAGAUGUUUCUGACCCCAGAGUAAACGAUAUCAUGGAGAAAUCUGGUGGUAGCUGAUAAGGAUUGAAAGGGGUGGGGGUCAAAAGCCCCAGAAUUUAGUAUAAAUAAUAGAGCUAAUAAACAGGGAUUCAGCCAGCCGAAACAAGGAUGCACUCAAGCUGGAGAGCCUGAUGAAGACCUGGACUGACAUCCCAUCACUUGUCAUCGUUUUCCUGAUCCUUGGCGUGAUCCUCACCGCUCUCAAACUCUACUGCCUCCUCUGGAUCUUGGUGAGAGCUGCAACUUCUCCCUGCAACCCUCUCCUCAACCAGUCAUCCACUCCAUUCCAAGAGAAGCCUGCCUUGGUUCUGGACCUGAUCAUCAGGGUCUGAGUGAGUGUCCAUCUGCUGGACUUAACACCUAAGGCUUGAGACUUUUGAUGUGACACUUGAACACUUGAACUUAGCAUGCAGAGGGAAUGUCUGUCAUUAGCCUGUCAUGAUUAAGUGUUUGCAGUGCUUAGAAUUAAUCUAGAAUAGUUUGCUGUGAACUAAUUAAUCUAGAAUUGUUUGCUGUGAAUUGAUUAUGUCUCUUGCAGCACCUAGCAUUAAGGAUUUCUUGAUUAAAAACCUAU
rnacentral:lncRNA from 1 species